GACGAACCGUCCAAACGUUAUUCGGAAUCACUGGGCUUAAAGGGUGCGUAGGCGGCUCGGCAAGUUGGGUGUGAAAGCCCUCGGCUCAACCGAGGAAUUGCGCCCAAAACUGCCGGGCUAGAGGGAGACAGAGGUGAGCGGAACUUAGGGUGGAGCGGUGAAAUUCUUUGAUAUCCUAAGGAACACCGGUAGCGAAAGCGGCUCACUGGGUCUUUGCUGACGCUGAGGCACGAAAGCUAGGGGAGCGAACGGG
rnacentral:rRNA from 1 species